AGGAGACGCUGGCGGCGUGGAUUAGGCAUGCAAGUCGAACGGUAGGAUCCUUUCGGGGAUCUGAGAGUGGCGAACGGGUGAGUAACACGUAGGUGAUCUACCCUCAAGACGGGGACAACCCAGGGAAACUUGGGCUAAUACCGGAUGUGAGCUAUCGCGAGAUAGUUUGAAAGGUGGCUUCGGCUGCCGCUUGAGGAUGAGCCUGCGUCCUAUUAGCUAGUUGGUGAGGUAACGGCUCACCGAGGCAGUGAUAGGUAGGCGGCCUUAACGGGUGGUCGCCCACACUGGGAUUGAGAUACGGCCCAGACUCCUACGGGAGGCAGCAGUCGAGAAUAGUCUACAAUGGUCGAAAGACUGAUAGUGCGACGCCGCGUGAACGAAGAAGCCCUUCGGGGUGUAAAGUUCUUUUAUAUGUGAGCAGUGACACCCAUAUUAAUAGUAUGGGUGUAGAGAUAUUAGCAUAUGAAUAAGCAACGGCUAACUCCGUG
rnacentral:rRNA from 1 species